rnacentral:rRNA from 1 species
AGAACCUGAGGUAUACAGCCGAGUAAUAGUGAAGGACUUCGGGUUGUAAGCCCUUUUCGCUGGGACGAGCUGGAUUUCUGAGGAUAAGGGUUGGCUUACUCCUUGCCAGAAGCCCAGAUCCCACUU